rnacentral:rRNA from 1 species
AUGCUGGAGGUAUCAGAAGUGCGAAUGCUGACAUAAGUAACGAUAAAGCGGGUGAAAAGCCCGCUCGCCGGAAGACCAAGGGUUCCUGUCCAACGUUAAUCGGGGCAGGGUGAGUCGACCCCUAAGGCGAGGCCGAAAGGCGUAGUCGAUGGGAAACAGGUUAAUAUUCCUGUACUUGGUGUUACUGCGAAGGGGGGACGGAGAAGGCUAUGUUGGCCGGGCGACGGUUGUCCCGGUUUAAGCGUGUAGGCUGGUUUUCCAGGCAAAUCCGGAAAAUCAAGGCUGAGGCGUGAUGACGAGGCACUACGGUGCUGAAGCAACAAAUGCCCUGCUUCCAGGAAAAGCCUCUAAGCAUCAGGUAACAUCAAAUCGUACCCCAAACCGACACAGGUGGUCAGGUAGAGAAUACCAAGGCGCUUGAGAGAACUCGGGUGAAGGAACUAGGCAAAAUGGUGCCGUAACUUCGGGAGAAGGCACGCUGAUAUGUAGGUGAAGUCCCUCGCGGAUGGAGCUGAAAUCAGUCGAAGAUACCAGCUGGCUGCAACUGUUUAUUAAAAACACAGCACUGUGCAAACACGAAAGUGGACGUAUACGGUGUGACGCCUGCCCGGUGCCGGAAGGUUAAUUGAUGGGGUUAGCGCAAGCGAAGCUCUUGAUCGAAGCCCCGGUAAACGGCGGCCGUAACUAUAACGGUCCUAAGGUAGCGAAAUUCCUUGUCGGGUAAGUUCCGACCUGCACGAAUGGCGUAAUGAUGGCCAGGCUGUCUCCACCCGAGACUCAGUGAAAUUGAACUCGCUGUGAAGAUGCAGUGUACCCGCGGCAAGACGGAAAGACCCCGUGAACCUUUACUAUAGCUUGACACUGAACAUUGAGCCUUGAUGUGUAGGAUAGGUGGGAGGCUUUGAAGUGUGGACGCCAGUCUGCAUGGAGCCGACCUUGAAAUACCACCCUUUAAUGUUUGAUGUUCUAACGUUGACCCGUAAUCCGGGUUGCGGACAGUGUCUGGUGGGUAGUUUGACUGGGGCGGUCUCCUCCUAAAGAGUAACGGAGGAGCACGAAGGUUGGCUAAUCCUGGUCGGACAUCAGGAGGUUAGUGCAAUGGCAUAAGCCAGCUUGACUGCGAGCGUGACGGCGCGAGCAGGUGCGAAAGCAGGUCAUAGUGAUCCGGUGGUUCUGAAUGGAAGGGCCAUCGCUCAACGGAUAAAAGGUACUCCGGGGAUAACAGGCUGAUACCGCCCAAGAGUUCAUAUCGACGGCGGUGUUUGGCACCUCGAUGUCGGCUCAUCACAUCCUGGGGCUGAAGUAGGUCCCAAGGGUAUGGCUGUUCGCCAUUUAAAGUGGUACGCGAGCUGGGUUUAGAACGUCGUGAGACAGUUCGGUCCCUAUCUGCCGUGGGCGCUGGAGAACUGAGGGGGGCUGCUCCUAGUACGAGAGGACCGGAGUGGACGCAUCACUGGUGUUCGGGUUGUCAUGCCAAUGGCACUGCCCGGUAGCUAAAUGCGGAAGAGAUAAGUGCUGAAAGCAUCUAAGCACGAAACUUGCCCCGAGAUGAGUUCUCCCUGACUCCUUGAGAGUCCUGAAGGAACGUUGAAGACGACGACGUUGAUAGGCCGGGUGUGUAAGCGCAGCGAUGCGUUGAGCUAACCGGUACUAAUGAACCGUGAGGCUUAACC